AUGUACUCUUGCCCAGCCUACGGCUAUGGGUCGAGGCUCCCGUCCCCGACGCCAUCCGACGAGGACCCAGAGCACUUCAACCCGCCGGGCUACGAUCCACUGCCGGAGUUCUCCUCCCCGCCGGCUGCAGCCCCUCUGGACGCGCUCAAGCCCCGGCUCGUCAUCAACCUCGUGCCGAAGGUGAAGACGGAGGAGAUGGAGGCUGCUGUGCCGACGGUCGCUCUCCCAGCGUUCCCAGACCUCAACCUCCCAACGCGAGAUGUGGAGGAGGAAGAACACCAGGAAGCACCGCCGCCGUCAGCACUCCCGACACCCUCGCCGGAAGCCCGUGUGCUACUCCGCCGCCUUGCGUCCGCCAUGGCUGCUUGCCCCACUGGAAUCCGUGGCGUCGCGGAUCCCCGCCCCCACGAGCCACGAGGCCGCCCCUCAACUCCCCUCCUCCUAUGCGGAAGGGCCGCUCCGCCACUGAUGGAGCCGGCCGUGGGCACCGGCGAGGAGCAGGGCCAAGCACACUGGUGA
rnacentral:rRNA from 1 species